UCUAGACUCAGAAAGACCUUGUAUGCCACA
rnacentral:piRNA from 1 species